AUGUUACUAAUGGGAUAUGUACCAAAAAAAAAAAAAAAAAAAAAAGCCAAAUGGGAACACAGCUCUGGGACCUUGCUUUCUGCGAGCUUAGUUUGAAAGAAGUAUAAUUCUUUAGUUCAGCUCUGUAUGGUUAAAUGAGUAACAUUACUCCUUUGUUUCAGAUUACAUGUUAGUGUCCAAGAUGCUGAACAAAUGAGAACAGAAAGAACAGCCCUGGAGAAACAAAUCAGAAUGCUUCACACAAAGUGUGCUAAUUUAGAAAGGGAAAAGUAUGAAGCAGUUGCAGGAGUCCAAGAUUGCGUACAGCUGUUAGAAGAAGCUAACCUGCAAAAGAGUCAGGCACUGUUUAAGAAGAAACAAAAGGAAGAGGAAAUAAAGAAGAUGAAAGAUGAAAUAUUUCAGCUCACAGAAGAUACUGCUGCAAGAAUUAGAAAGGCAGAACGUGGUGAAAAGCAGGGUCAAAUAGAGCGAGCCAUUAGAGAAAAGCGAGCAGUGGAAGAAGACCUUGAGAAGAUAUGCAGAGAAUACGGAGGACACGAAUCUGACAAUAGAAAACUAGAGCAACGGCAUCAGAAAUAUCUACUUGCAGAGACUACCAAAUGUGACCUUCAGCUGAGUCUGCAAACAACACAGCAUAAACUGAAACUGCUGGAAAUGAAAUAAGCAGUAUGGAGCACGAGCAUGCUGUGAGAGAACAUGGAUACGAAGUUCGUCUUAGGGAAAUGGAAGACAUCAGUCAGAAGUCGACUGCUGAGCUUAGACGUCUGUUGACAGCUCAGCAAAAAGCAACAAAUAGAUGGAAAGAGGAAACAAAAGUGCUUACUGAAACUACAGAAGCUAGGAUCAGUAAGUUAAAGAGUGAUCUGAGUCAACAAAAACUUUGUAAUCAGGAACUUAUUGCUCAGCUGGAAUUGGAAACAAAGUAAUUGAGGAUGAAAAAUUAAUGACUGAAUAUCAGAAACAUAUCAAUAGGCUUCAGAUGAGACUGAGCCAGGCAGAACAGAGGGCAGCUACAGCAUCACAAAAGCUCAGCACGUUAACUACAUGGAAGAGAAAGGCUACUUCUCUGAAGGAACUAGAAAAUAUUUAACAUGAAGCAUCAAUAAUAUUCGCACCACAGUGGAGGUAACAAAGAAGGCUGGCUGAAGAUCCAUACUGUCUCUGUUUGCAUGGCGGAGAUCAGAAGACUGCAAACUGAUACAGAUGGUGUUGUCAUCGGUGUUGGUGGAGAUCUGCAGCUUGAGAAAGGACAACUCGCCAAAGCUUUGCUAAGAAAGACAAGGCCAAGGCUUCAGGCAGAUUUAAUUGAUGAAGGCCUGGGAAAAUCACCUGGUGAAGGAUCUGUGUUCACAGCAAGAGGUUACAGUCUGAGUUGCAGUUAUGUGUUUCAUGCUGUCACACCUCGAUGGUCAGAGGGAAGUGAAUCUGCAGUGAAGGUACAGGAGUUUUUAUUUACUUAAACUCUUAAUUUGAAUGGGCUUUACGGAAGAUUUGACGCAACUUCUUUGAAAUGAGGGAGGCUAUCACAGGAGAUGAGCGAGUUUGGGCUAUUUUUUUAGCUGUGUUGCUCACACCUUGUUGACUGUUGUGUUCUUUCUGAUGCGCGUGAGAUGAUGCUAAGAGAUAGUACUUUACCUUUUAGCUGAAUUGUACCUUCUGGAAAAAGUAACUUUCAGUCGUGGAAAAAAUAGUUGUGCUUUACAGAUCGUGGGCAGGCUCGUCACAAAAUGCCUGCAGACUGCUGAGGAACUAUCUGUAAAGUCCACUGCUUUCCCAGGGAUUGGAACAGGGAUCUUAGGGUUCCCAAGCCCCGUUGUUGCUAAAUUGCUGUUUGGCAAGGUGUAUGAAUUCAGUAGUAAAAAGAAAACCAAUUCUCUUCUGGAGGUUCACUUUCUGUUGCAUCCAAAAGAUGUAAAAAUCUCCAGGUGAGUCACGGUGCUUUUCUCUUUCAAUUACCUGCUAUUCUGUUUGAACCUGUCUCAUGGUAUGUGGCUAUGUGUUGUUCUCCAGAGAAUCUGCAGGCUGCUUGUUAUCGUAUAAAGCGUAGAGCCGUUUGCUGACAGGCUCUUUUGAACGUAGCUUGUCCUGUGCAGCACCGCUUGUUUCCUGUCCUUUUCUAUUCCCUGGUAAUAAUGCAGAUGAAAGCGUAAUUACUCUUUUGAUUCUUCCAUACGUAAGGCUCAUCUGCAGAUGGACUUGCUGCAACUUCUGCAUAGAUGUCUUCACUCUUGGAAAAGGAAUACUCUCCAUAGGUUUAGAUGAAGUCUAUGAAGAAUAAUUACGUUAGGAUUGC